GCGGGACGGACAGUGAAAUAAUUAUUCUGCUUCCGGAUCCAAGCGGCGGCUUUCGUUGGUUCGCCGCUAACAUCGUCGAAAGUAACUUCGUAGACGGAAACCGAUGGAAAUUACGUCGGCAUUCGGAGUCGUUUGUUUCUACGGUCUAAACAGUUCGACGGUUCGACGGUGUGUUCGUUGAUAAAUGCGUUCAACGUCUCCGCACCUGCGACCAAAGGAAGCAUCGGCGAUCCACGAUCGAUCCACAGGCGAAUCGGCGCGCGACGGUGGUCUCGACAAACUUAUCAUCUAGGGAAACGAAGGGUAAAAGGAAAAGAAAAAUACGGUACUCGUCGAGGGAGCGUCAUCAUUUUUGUUUUCUGAAAGAACGAGGGCAUCAUCUUACGUCUAUUUAGAGUACCAAGUUGCCGGCUCGCCCGAGGAUAAAAACUCGCCGAAGGCGGGAUACGGCGGAAAGAAGCGGCGGUUCGACGAGCUGCCGUUUUCCUGGAUCAAGGACGCGGAUCCCGCACGCAGCGGGAACCCUGAAGUGCGCGCCAGCUGCCCCGGAAGCAUGUAUCACGAUCGACGAGCUUCCGAUCGUGAAAUAUUCGAGAAUCGGCGAAACGAGCGGAGAGAUUCAAUCCCGCCCGACCGAGCGUCGCGCCCAGACGCCAUUUUGUCGCAAGCAUUAACGCAUCCGCAACGGACGACGCUUCGGUACGUCUAAAUGGCACUUUGGCCGUUUCAGCGGAAGGAGAACCGUGAUUUAAACGAGCACUCUACUACACAAUAACACUCUUCCCCUGAACCUAUCACAAAGACGAAAUAUUGGUUAAAAAAGUAUCUAGUUCAAGCAGGAUUCAAAGAAGUUCGUUUAAGCGCUGAUUGUUCCAAGAGUCUCCAUAGCUCGAGAGGAAAGAAUGGAUCUCCAUUGUAGUUCGUAUCUCAUUCUUUCGAUCUUCGCAAGGUACAAACGCACGAAGAUUCCAUUGUGCUGCCGGCGGCACGCGAUUACGUCCGUUGCGAACGGGUUAACCGGGACAAGAGCCGACAGAAGCGACGGUUUCCGUUCGAAAGGUAUCGCCGCCAUUGUCAAAGGGGAGCAGCCGGCGCGGCCCGAGACAGCGUUAGAAAUUCUUCGGCCCUUGAUUCGCGAACGGAACAGGCAGGACGUGGUGCGCGUUGAAUCGUCGUCCUCGAAGCGGUUCUUCGAAAAGGGAAUUCCGGGAUCCGACGGGAUGCUCU